CUCAACACAGCUGGAAUGUGGGGCUAGGAGAUUGGCCCAGGGAGCAGCCAGGGUGAAGGAGCAGCCUGGCUCUAGAGUGGGAGUUUCUGACAGGCUCGGUGAUGGAAGCCAGGCAGCACAGCAGAAAUUGGGAUUCACCUUUGAGCUUGCAGCUCACCCAAGCACUGGUGACCAGCACAAGGAACAGAAGGCUGAUGCCCACCUACCCGUGUGAGGUGUUCCACUGAUAUUGAUGGGACGCCUUGGUGAAGAAGUGUCCAUCAAUGGGAAUUACUGAGGAGCUGAGCUGUGAAUGAAAUACCUAUGGAUCUCCCAUGAAUACUCAGCACAUGGUACCAGAACCCUGUUCAGAUUGGCUAGUGACUGUUUUAUAAUGGUCCCAGAAGCCGAGACUCCAGAUGGUGGUGCUUGGUGGAAAUGUUUCCUGUUAAGAAGUGGCCAUCAAUGUGAUGUCAUUCCCAAGCAGCCUCACUUCGUUAGGUGGAAGCUCUGGGAAGAAAGUAAAACAAGAUUGUGAGUGUGGGUCUGCUAUGUCUGAGAUAUGCUGGAGAUAUAAAGGGCCAUUGCACCCCUGGUCUUUUUGAAGUACUUGCAGCAAGUUGCUACAUUCACUCCACCCAAAAAUUCGCCUUCCAAAAGUGAGCGAAUCGUGUUAAAAGAACAAGUGCCUAUGGUAAGUGUUGACUGUAACAGGUACUGUAAUUAUGAAUGGCAUGAAUGGACAAUCAUUCCUGGUGCAGCAAAUCAAUUCUGUCACAUGGAAUCCGGCGUUUUCAGAGGAAAUCAGCUUUCACUGCAGGCUGCCAAGGCCAAAUGAGCUUCAUAAAGCACCUGCAGAUCUGAGCGUCAAGCAAUUAUUCCACUGUCUUGCCUAAAAACAAAAAGGGCCCUGCCCUUUGGUAGCCUUUGGCCUUUUCCAGCUAACAUAAACUAAUUAUAUUUGCGGUGGAGGAGAAAAAAAAACUUUCUGUGGUUCUCCCUGGGAGUUGUCACUCGGGCUUUGUGCAGCGUUGUCAGAUUUGCAGCAUGUAAUUCAAAAUACGACGCCCCCUUCAUCAGCUCAUAGCUCCAGGAAGCUGGGUUGCUUAAGUGCUUAAAGAGAUACAACAGGGGGCUCAGAUUUAUCUCAAAUAAAGUCUCAUCUACUGGGGCGCUGAGAACAGGCUCUGCGGGUCAUACAAGAGCCCCAUUGUUCAGCGUCACUUAGCAGCAAUUACAGCCCGUCAAAACAGUUUUUGUUUUACGACAACGUGUUAAUGGGCCCACGGUUGGGUGUGAGAAGUAACCCAAGCCACAUGCACUGAAGCAAGGUUAGAGGUUAAUUGAGACUUUCUAACACAGCGCAUGAGAUUUUUGCAACCUUUUGCCGAGAGGGAAAUCACGAACAAAAAGGAGAUAAUGUGAUACAAUUAGUCGGAAAGCAGGAGGGUCAAAAUUCCCAGAUGCAAAGGAAAACUGGCGAAGUGAAUCAGGCCAGAUGGGCCACCUGGACCAUAACGAAUGCCAAAAAUAGCUGCAGUCGUUCAUCUGGUGGAUGAGGUUGUAGGUGGUAUGUCUCUCCUUUGCAGUGUGUUUUUUUUUUUUUAAAGUAAUACAAGGUCAACACUAUAAAUGGUGGUUGCAUGUUGUAAUUUGUAUUCCAGAUCCAUGAUCAUUACCGUGUCUCAUUUUUUCUAAGUCAUCUAAUUUUAAACCAGCAACGCAGCUUGAGACACGCUCGCGGUAUUGGUCUGCUGUUCAACUUUCUGAACUUUCCAUCAUUUAUGUUCCUUUCCCCUGCAUGAACCUCCAGAGCAUUAUUAACAAAAGUAUUAACACUUGAAGACAGAUUUCACUGUGGGGGGUUCCCCCUGCAUGCCAGCGGGAGGGUGUUUCAGUCUAUACAAGGUAGCCACCUGCUCCAUAGUCUCAUGCAGCACAAUCAAAGACUGUAUCGCCCCAGCUCGUCAGCCUGUGUAAAUUGGCGUAGCCCCAUUGCCUUCAACAAAAUGACACUGAUUUGCACCAGCUGAAGUUCUGGCCUUGUAGACACACUUCUUAAUAAUAAGCAGGCCAAAGCUCAAUGUUAGUAUAAUGAGAAUAAGGUAUAAGCCCUCCCGCCCUCCCCCAAUCCCCCCAUCUCUUUGUGCCAUUGCAGCUGCUGUUUUGUCUGUGCUUUGGCAUGUUUCAAAGUUUAAAAUUUAGGCAAUAGGUGAAAAUCUUUGAGUUGCUUCCUGGAAAUGAACUGUGAGGUGACCAGAAGUGCCAAGUCAUUUUUCUUUUUGACUAAUGCCCAGCUUGCUUAAUUGUUUUUCUACAGCCAGUGUGUAGUUUCCUUUUACUUCUUGGGAACCUCACUCGCUUCCUGUACUGAAGCUGAGUCAUCAGCUGCAGGUGCCUAUGAUUUUAUCUGGAUCACAUUCAAACGCUUUGGGACGCCGCGUGAUAUUAGUGUGACAUCCUGGGUAUUAUGCCAUACAGUUUUCUUAGACGGAGAUGCAGUUAUAUUGUCACGCUGCAGCCUGUACGUGCAGAGCUUUACAGACUUUGGCCACCGCUUUCACCCUCCAGGAGGGUGAACCAGGCUGAUGCCUAAACAGGAUGCCUGAGUCAGGAGCCACUGGCAGCCCCACGGUACCUAGUACAAGGUCAGCUGAGCCCAGCUGGGCUUGAUAAUGAGGACUGGCCUGAUGGAGAAAGCAUUGGCAGGGAGACAAUGCCACUGUGCAGCUCUGGGAGAGAAACCAGCUCUCGACAGCACAAUACCAGGGGAAGGCAAUGAGCUAACGGGACAGCAGAAUGCUGAAGCCGAGCACGACUUUGCUGACCGUACGUGCCCCACACCCCAAUCAAGAAAGAAACAAAAGAGAAAGAAAGGGGUGAAGGCAAAAAUUGACAGAACAGACAAGCAGACAGAAGAGCGAAUGUCAGAGAACGAAAGAACGGAAACAAAAACAUU